CAUUACAGAGUUCCUGCCCUCACGGGUAGAAACCCCACCCUUGUGUAUGUUAUGUUUGUUGCUUUGACAGGCCGCCUUCGGGCCCUGGCUUCGGCUAGGCUGCGCCUGUCAGAGAACCCCCAACUCUGAAUGUUAGUGUCGUCUGAGUACUAUAUAAUAGUUAAAACUUUCAACAACGGAUCUCUUGGUUCUGGCAUCGAUGAAGAACGCAGCGAAAUGCGAUAAGUAAUGUGAAUUGCAGAAUUCAGUGAAUCAUCGAAUCUUUGAACGCACAUUGCGCCCCUUGGUAUUCCGAGGGGCAUGCCUGUUCGAGCGUCAUAUACACCAACUCCUACUUCGUGUAGGGUCUUGGGCUUCGCCUCUGGGCGGGCCUCAAAAUCAGUGGCGGCGCCAUCUGGCUCUGAGCGUAGUAAAUCUCCUCGCUAUAGAACCCAGAAGGUUAGCUGGCCAGUAACCCCAAAUUCUUAGGGUUGACCUCGG
rnacentral:rRNA from 1 species